rnacentral:rRNA from 1 species
GACGAACGCUGGCGGCGUGCUUAACACAUGCAAGUCGAACGGAAAGGCCCUGCUUUUGUGGGGUGCUCGAGUGGCGAACGGGUGCGUAACACGUGAGUAACCUGCCCUUGACUUUGGGAUAACUUCAGGAAACUGGGGCUAAUACCGGAUAGGAGCUCCUGCUGCAUGGUGGGGGUUGGAAAGUUUCGGCGGUUGGGGAUGGACUCGCGGCUUAUCAGCUUGUUGGUGGGGUAGUGGCUUACCAAGGCUUUGACGGGUAGCCGGCCUGAGGGGGUGACCGGCCACAUUGGGACUGAGAGACGGCCCAGACUCCUACGGGAGGCAGCAGGGGGGAAUAUUGCACAAUGGGCGGAAGCCUGAUGCAGCAACGCCGCGUGCGGGAUGACGGCCUUCGGGUUGUGAACCGCUUUCGCCUGUGACGAAGCGUUAGUGACGGUAAUGGGUAAAGAAGCACCGGCUAACUACGUG